CAAAUUAUGAUAAGAGAGAGUCAGCCGUGCUGAAACUAGUUGUUUUGAGUCCAUCAGAGGCGAUGCUGUUUGUGUGUGGAGCGGCGACCGAGGGGAGGGCAUCAUCAACAUUAGCUGACAGCAUGGGAAGAAGCCUGCGGUGGAUAGAUGCGGCUCACCUCCUGUUAGCAGACUGCUAGUCUGUUCCUGGAGGCAAUGAAAAGCAGCAUCUCCUCUAAUUCAUCACCAUCCGAAGGGAGAGAGAAGAACGAGAGACGUUCAAGAGUCAUCAGAGUGGAUGUCUGCACCUUUGCUGCUAAUCACUGCUGACGAACGCACGCUGCUGUUCUACAAAGAUAAUGAGUCUGCCAGAGUCAAAGGGAGCAACAAACACCCGAGCAGAGCCCAGAAGGAGGAGAUGAAACGUGACAUAUCAACAAAAUACAGAUACUCAAGUGCAACUACGGACUGACAACGACUGUUAGAGAUUUGACCCAAACGGAGCUGAGAGACACAGCGGGGAAGACGAAGUCAGAGACAUUACAGAGGCCCGUGUCAACCACCGGGGGACGCGAGGUGUGAAAGAGAGAAACAAAGUGAUAAAAAGGGGAAACGGAGUGAAGAGCUGAAGCAGGCAGGAAGGAUGAGGACUAAACACACUUUGAUGAGAGCUACUUGGAUGAAAAUCCUCCUUACUGGUGAUCCACCCGCCAAGAACUUUACCUCAUGAAGUAUACCUUCCACACCCCUGUAAACACACACACACACACACACACACACACACACACACACACACACACACACACAGACCAGCGAUUUAUAGACAGGUGAAAUGCACCUGUGCGUUUUAGCCUCAUCCACUCUGGACUCAAAAUGUCACACAGACACAUAAACACACUCACAGCAUGGCGGACACAAAUACACACACAGGUGCUGCCGGGUGGACCAUGGGGAAGAGAUGAGACCGCUCUCGCUCCACUGACUGGAAAACCUGAUCUUCUUACCUCAGCAAGUUCAGAUGGAGGGACUCAGUGGAGAGACAUCUGUGUGUGUGUGUGUGUGUGUGUGUGUGUGUGUGUGUGUGUGUGUGUGUGUGUGUGUGUGUGUGUGUGUGUGUGUGUGUGUGUGUGUGUGUGCGUGUGCUUUUGUAUGUCGUGAGAAGGAGAGCCAGAGCAAGAGCCUCAUCAGCAGAGCACAAGAUUGAGGAGCAAGUGAGAAAAAGAACGACGCUGGGUCCUUAGCUGUUGUCAUGGCAACACAUUAACAGGUCGUAGGGUAAACAGGUGACUUUUAGUUAGUCAAUCGCCCCAAAAAUGUGCAGAAUCCACACAUGUGAAAUCUGAUGCGCCGAUGUCCCCAACCUGUGGCCCGUCGGGGGUCAAACGGACCUACACAACGGCGUGCCGUUCAAUUGGCUCGUCGCUGAACGAGGAGAGGCUUCUCAUCAACCAUUGCUGUUUGUGUGCAUGACCACCCACCAUCAUCAUUAGCAUCUGACAGAGGGAGAGCAACGGCCGUGUGGAUUAUCACAGUGGCACACGCUAUUACCAUAACAGUUACGAUAGAUACGCCUUCAUUGAAUGGAUAAUCAGCAAGGUAUUAUGUGCUGGGAUAAUAGCACCGUGUGAAAACUAGGGAUGCACUCCCGGCUAACGCGCCCGCACAACUGUACCAAUUAUUGUGAGCAGGGUUCACGGCGCAUUUCGUUAAAGCAGUGUGCCGCCGCAGAUCUGAUAACAACAGCACAUCUAGUGAUGAUUAUUAGGACCAUUGCCGCGAUGAUGAGAGUGUUAUUCCCAGGGCUGAGCUUACCUUUGUCUGUGUGUGUGUGUGUGUGUGUGUGUGUGUGUGUGUGUGUGUGUGUGUGUGUGUGUGUGUGUGUGUGUGUGUGUGUGUGUGUGUGUGUGUGUGUGUGUGUGUGUGUGUGUGUCACUGUGUCAGGGAGAGAGAGAGAGAAAGUGAGCAAAUGGUUGAAACACAAAGUGGUUUUAUUCAGUGAAAAUGGUUUUAUGAAAGAGACAUCAUCUGUCGCAUUUCACACAAAAGCAUGAUCGCUCAAAUGAUACAUUUUGUUCUGUUGCUUGAAUUAUUCAUUUAGAGGAACUAGUGACUACUUUCACUUCUUCUUUCAUUCUACAAAUCUGUGUUUCACCAAUGACACACCUGUGUCUGUGGGACGACUUGUAACAAUAAGCAGUCAUCAUUACACUAAUUAUCUCAUCCCUGUCCCUCUCACUGGAUUCACCUCCUAGGAAGCAAAUGCAAAGGAAUUCAAUACAAGUGCAUAUUCAUUUAAAGUCUUAUCACCUUCAGUAAAAAAGUGAUUAGGAUGUAAAGUCAAAGACACUGUUUUAGGAUUAAAGCAGACAUUAUCCUGCUCCGGCGUUUCCCCAUCGCAAUUUGAGAGGGCAGCGUGUUUGUUGCCUUUUGUCCCCCCGUCGCUGUUGGCAUGUACCCAUUAUUAAGCUGCUCAGGCCUCUCACCAACAAGGGGCCGCCAUCCCUCCUCCCCACCGUCCUCCCACCCGGCUCCUCAGAUAAUCAGGAUAUUACCAAUGAAAAGUCAAAGCCAUAAAUCAGAAAUACCCCCCCGAGCACCUUCCUUCCCACUUCCCCAUAUCUCUCCUCUUCCUUCUUUGUCAAAAAACGGGACUAUAGUUGAGAAAACCACACAGGCAGAGAGCGAGACAGAGAGAUUGAAAGAUGAGAUAUGGACAGAUGAGAGGGAGGUGGGUGGGACUGAGUAAUCCGGGAUUUCCACCAGAUGACGUCAGCAGUUGGCCAGUGUCAUCCAUCAAACUCACAUUUGUGUCAAAAACAUGUCUCUGUACGUGUGUGUGUGUGUGUGUGUGUGUGUGUGUGUGUGUGUGUGUGUGUGUGUGUGUGUGUGUGUGUGUGUGUGUGUGUGUGUGUGUUGCAAUUCUACAUGACUCAGAUGCAGCUGGUCUGCUCUGUGAUCUGGACUGGAGGCAAACAAGGGUGGAGAAAAAAAU
ensembl:lncRNA